GAUGAACGCUGGCGGCGUGCCUAAUACAUGCAAGUCGAGCGAACAGACGAGGAGCUUGCUCCUCUGACGUUAGCGGCGGACGGGUGAGUAACAUGUGGAUAACCUACCUAUAAGACUGGGAUAACUUUGGGAAACCGGAGCUAAUACCGGAUAAUAUAUUGAACCGCAUGGUUCAAUAGUGAAAGACGGUUUUGCUGUCACUUAUAGAUGGAUCAGCGCCGCAUUAGCUAGUUGGUAAGGUAACGGCUUACCAAGGCAACGAUGCGUAGCCGACCUGAGAGGGUGAUCGGCCACACUGGAACUGAGACACGGUCCAGACUCCUACGGGGGGCAGCAGUAGGGAAUCUUCCGCGAAGGGCGAAAGCCUGACGUAGCAACGCCGCGUGAGUGAUGAAGGUCUUCGGAUCGUAAAGCUCUGUUAUUAGGGAAGAACAAAUGUGUAAGUAACUAUGCACGUCUUGACGGUACCUAAUCAAAAAGCCACGGCUAACUACGUG
rnacentral:rRNA from 1 species